rnacentral:SRP_RNA from 1 species
GUCGGGCACAGUGGCGCGUGCCUGCAGUCCCAGCUACUCGGGAGGCUGAGGUGGGAGGAUUGCUUGAGCCCAGGAGUUCUGGGCUGUAGUGCGCUAUGCCGAUAGGGUGUCCGCACUAAGUUGGGCAUCAAUAUGGUGACCUCCCGGGAGCGGGGGACCACCAGGUUGCCUAAGGAGGGGUGAACCAGCCCAGGUCGGAAACACAGCAGGUCAAAACUCCUGUGCUGAUCAGUAGUGGGAUCGCACCUGUGAAUAGCCACUGCACUCCAGCCUGGGCAACAUAGCAAGACCCCGUCUCU